rnacentral:rRNA from 1 species
UACGAAGGGGACUAGCGUUGUUCGGAAUUACUGGGCGUAAAGCGCGCGUAGGCGGCUUUGUAAGUUAGAGGUGAAAGCCCGGGGCUCAACUCCGGAACUGCCUUUAAGACUGCAUCGCUUGAAUCCGGGAGAGGUGAGUGGAAUUCCGAGUGUAGAGGUGAAAUUCGUAGAUAUUCGGAAGAACACCAGUGGCGAAGGCGGCUCACUGGACCGGUAUUGACGCUGAGGUGCGAAAGCGUGGGGAGCAAACAGG